AUUGAACGCUGGCGGCAUGCUUUACACAUGCAAGUCGAACGGUAACAGGGUGCUUGCACCGCUGACGAGUGGCGAACGGGUGAGUAAUGCGUCGGAACGUGCCGAGUAGUGGGGGAUAACGCAGCGAAAGUUGUGCUGAUACCGCAUACGUACUGAGGUAGAAAGUGGGGGACCUUCGGGCCUCACGCUAUUCGAGCGACCGACGUCUGAUUAGCUAGUAGGUGAGGUAAAGGCUCACCUAGGCGACGAUCAGUAGCGGGUCUGAGAGGAUGAUCCGCCACACUGGGACUGAGACACGGCCCAGACUCCUACGGGAGGCAGCAGUGGGGAAUUUUGGACAAUGGGCGAAAGCCUGAUCCAGCCAUGCCGCGUGUCUGAAGAAGGCCUUCGGGUUGUAAAGGACUUUUGUCAGGGAGGAAAUCCCUAGUGCUAAUAACACUGGGGGAUGACAGUACCUGAAGAAUAAGCACCGGCUAACUACGUGCCAGCCGCCGCCGUAA
rnacentral:rRNA from 1 species